rnacentral:rRNA from 1 species
CAGUAGCCGCGGUAAUACGUAGGUGGCAAGCGUUGUCCGGAAUUAUUGGGCGUAAAGGGCUCGCAGGCGGUUUCUUAAGUCUGAUGUGAAAGCCCCCGGCUCAACCGGGGAGGGUCAUUGGAAACUGGGAAACUUGUGUGCAGAAGAGGAGAGUGGAAUUCCACGUGUAGCGGUGAAAUGCGUAGAGAUGUGGAGGAACACCGGUGGCGAAGGCGACUCUCUGGUCUGUAACUGACGCUGAGGAGCGAAAGCGUGGGGAGCGAACAGGAUUAGAUACCCCCGUAGUCCCUGUCUCUUAUAC